AGGUCACUCAAGAAGACUUAUGGAGGGGCCCAAAUGAUGAGGAACUGAGGCUUUGUAUCAAUAGCUGGGUAGAAACUAAAGCCUCCUGCAAAUAGCCAUAUGAGUGAGCUAUUUUACAAGUGUUGCCUGCAGCCUCAGUCAAGUGUUGUUAAUUAUAGCCGUGGCCAACAUCUUGACUGCCACCUCAUGAAACACUCUGAGCCAGAACAACCCACUACACUACUCUUAUAGAAUCUUAAUUCUAAUCUACAGGAACAAUGCAAAGUAGUAGGCUCCACAGCCAACAUGGGACUUGAACUCACAACUCUGAGAUCAAGAGUCACAUGCUCUCUCUACUGACUGAGCCAGCCAGCAACCAGAAUGGAAACCAUUAAUCAUUCCUCAAGACUGUCAAGGUCAUGAAAAACAAAGUCCGAGAUACUAACAGACCAGAGGAAGCUAAGGACACAUGACGACUAGACCAGAGGAGACUAAAGAACAUAGCAACCAAAUGCAAAGGAAAAUUUGGUAAAAUCCAAAUAAAGUCUGGACUUUAGUUAAUAAAAAAGUGCUAA